UACGAGGGGGGCAAGCGUUGUUCGGAAUUACUGGGCGUAAAGAGCUCGUAGGUGGUUUGUCGCGUUGUCCGUGAAAACUCACAACUCAAUUGUGGGCGUGCGGGCGAUACGGGCAGACUGGAGUACUGCAGGGGAGACUGGAAUUCCUGGUGUAGCGGUGGAAUGCGCAGAUAUCAGGAGGAACACCGGUGGCGAAGGCGGGUCUCUGGGCAGUAACUGACGCUGAGGAGCGAAAGCGUGGGGAGCGAACAGG
rnacentral:rRNA from 1 species